UACAGAGGGUGCGAGCGUUAUUCGGAAUUACUGGGCGUAAAGCGUGCGUAGACGGUUAUUUAAGUCGGAUGUGAAAGCCCCGGGCUCAACCUGGGAAUUGCAUUCGAGACUGAAUAGCUAGGGUACGGUAGAGGGAAGUGGAAUUUCCGGUGUAGCGGUGAAAUGCGUAGAUAUCGGAAGGAACAUCAGUGGCGAAAGCGACUUCCUGGACCAGUACCGACGUUCAGGCACGAAAGCGUGGGGAGCAAACAGG
rnacentral:rRNA from 1 species